UUUCUUACCUAUUUGUCCAAUUCAUUGUCACCACUUGCCAUCCCCAGUUGCGACCGGUGGCCGCCACUAUGGGCAACUUUCUGAUAAUUUUUCAGCCUACUUUCGGAUAAUGUUAUGACUUUAUCAGAUUUGUUGACAAAACCCUACUUCUCUGCAACUCUUCUAUGCUUAAAAAAUUCGUGCUUGAUUUCGAUUACAUGUCGGAAUUCGCUUCCAAUAUCAACUCAUGGACUCUAUUCGUCUUGCCACAGGAAUUGUUUACCAAUUCAUCCUUCAGAGAAUUGCGUUUUUCCUUGUGCAGCUUGAUGCCCAAAGGAGUUGUUUGCUGGAAAUUGCUGAAGACAUUGUCAAUUGGGCAUGUCAAGUUGAAUGAUGGUGUGAUUGACAAGAUAUUAUAGGGUAGUCCUGUAUUGGAGAAUUUAGAAUUGUAUUACUUUUAUGGCUUCACUCGUUUGCAUGUUAGCAAAGCAAAUCUGAAAAUUUUGAUCUUGAGAGAAUUUUGGGAAUUGAUGGACAUCUAUGAAGGCGACGGUGGAAUAUUUAAAUCCUCGAAUAGUGAAGGAUUAUUUCUGUUUGCAACUUUGCCAUUCAAUUCAUAAAAAAAAAUUGUGCAUAUAUCUUAAAUUAGGAUGGUAUAGUAAUGGUUAGUACGAACUGUUAGUCUAUGGCAUGGGUAGCGCCCAUGGCGAAGCCAUAUUGCCAACGUCUAUAAAUUAUUGAAAAAAAUGUUCCUUUUCGUUCCCUAGUGUUCCUGCAGUUGCAAAUGUUUUCAUAUUUUGUCCAUCUUUUGCGCUUGUUUUUUUGUGCUAAAUGAUGUUUAUUAUCAAAGUCCAUUGUUGUCGAUUACAAUCAAUAUUAUUCUUAGGUUUCAACUAAGCUGAUCCUAUCCUUUGUGGUUACUUUUGCUCCAAUGUAAGGAGUGAUUGUUUGUGAUACAUGAUUUGAAAAUUAAACUCAGCUGAAGAAAUUCCAUCUAGUUUGUUCAUUUUUUUAAACGCAAUAUUUUUAUGGUAAGGUCUGCGAAACAAUGUGCUAGAAUCUUCUAAUUGGUUUCAUCUUUUUUUUUAUUUAUUUAUUUAAUUUGUUUUGCAUUUUGCUUAUGAUGGAAAAAGGUAAUGUCAAUAAUGGAAAUGAAAGGUUUAUGUUCUCCACUGUCAAAGUGUGAAUGUUUAACACUACGUACAUGCAUUGCGAAAUCUGUCCUCCCUGGAAUAGCAAGCCUCUUGGAAAGUUCCUCUCAUCUAGACGACAUUAGUGAUAAUCUCAACGUUCUCUUCGUGCCCUUCCCAGAAGGAGAUUUCAGUUUAUUGAAUUCUUCAUCUGCCGUGGUUUUGGAACAUUCUCACCUUCACCCACCUUUUUGAUGUUGAUGGGGAGAACUACUGGACAUCACAAAAGAGGACUUUUAAGUGUUUGAUGUUGCAUCUCAAAAUAGUUAAGUUUACUCGUUCAAGUCAGAUAUACUGUUGCGUGGACUUCUUUUUUCUGCAAUUUCUAUUGAAGAAUGCGAGGGUGCUGCAAAAGAUGUUUAUCCAUAACCCGGCAAUCAGACGUGGCCUAAGGGGAGACAAUACAGUGCCGAUGGAACUUUUCCAAGAAGCUCAAAAGCUUUUAAGUUUUCCAAGAAUCUCUCCUGAUGCGGUAGUGAUGUUCGAUUAGUGAAAUGGAAAACUCAAAUAAUGUACUCGACAAACUCUAAAAUUUGAUGGUUUUGAUCAUUGAGGUGGGACCAAAAGUGAGCUCGCUAACUGAAUUGGACGGUUAUCUCCAACUAGAGACAAGCUGGACCUAUAAAAUUAGGGAAUAUCUUAUCUUCAUCUGAACUAGACAGUUGAGUUAUCUUACCGGUACUGUCAAUAAUGAAAACAAAUGUUUUGCGUUCUUCACUGUCAAAGUGUGAAUGUUUAACACUAGAUACGGCAAUUAUGGGAUCAGUCCUGCUUGGAAUAGCAAGCCUCUUGGAAAGUUGUUCUCAUCUAGUGACAUUAGUGAUAGUCACAUCUCCUUCCAGCAAUGGGGUGGUUUUUUGGGACAAUCUCCCCCACCUUUUCCAUUUUGGCAGGGAGAACUACUUGUUCAAGUUCGAAUUACAGUGGCUUGGACUUAUCUUUUGUGCAAUUUCUAUUGAAGAAUGCAAGGGUGUUACAAAAGAUGGUUAUCAAUAUGCUAAUGGCCGACGAUAUGGUGCGAAUGGAUCUUUUCCAAGCAGCUCAAAAGUUUUUAAGUUUUCCAAGAUCCUAUCCCAAUGCAGUAGUUACGUUCAAUUAGUGAAAUGGACAACUCAAGUAAUUCACUUUCUCAUUGAGACACAGUUUUUUUUUUUUUUUUUUUUUUUUCAAUUAUUAUUUUGUUAUGUUGGUCUUUUGAAGCAAGCAAUGUUUUAUUGAAUAAUAGUUUGUUUAUAGAAGGUAGAACUUUAGCAACUCUGUCAUGUUUGAGCGAUUGUUUAUUGGAUAUAAUAAUUUUAGGGGUUUCCCUUUUUCUAAA